UGGGGAAUAUUGCGCAAUGGGGGGAACCCUGACGCAGCCAUGCCGCGUGAAUGAAGAAGGCCUUCGGGUUGUAAAGUUCUUUCGGUAUUGAGGAAGGUUGAUGUGUUAAUAGCACAUCAAAUUGACGUUAAAUACAGAAGAAGCACCGGCUAACUCCGUGCCAGCAGCCGCGGUAAUACGGAGGGUGCGAGCGUUAAUCGGAAUAACUGGGCGUAAAGGGCACGCAGGCGGUUAUUUAAGUGAGGUGUGAAAGCCCCGGGCUUAACCUGGGGAUUGCAUUUCAGACUGGGUAACUAGAGUACUUUAGGGAGGGGUAGAAUUCCACGUGUAGCGGUGAAAUGCGUAGAGAUGUGGAGGAAUACCGAAGGCGAAGGCAGCCCCUUGGGAAUGUACUGACGCUCAUGUGCGAAAGCGUGGGGAGCAAACAGGAUUAGAUACCCUGGUAGUCCACGCUGUAAACGCUGUCGAUUUGGGGGUUGGGGUUUAACUCUGGCGCCCGUAGCUAACGUGAUAAAUCGACCGCCUGGGGAGUACGGCCGCAAGGUUA
rnacentral:rRNA from 1 species